GAUGAACGCUGGCGGCGUGCCUAAUACAUGCAAGUCGAGCGAACGGACGAGAAGCUUGCUUCUCUGAUGUUAGCGGCGGACGGGUGAGUAACACGUGGAUAACCUACCUAUAAGACUGGGAUAACUUCGGGAAACCGGAGCUAAUACCGGAUAAUAUUUUGAACCGCAUGGUUCAAAAGUGAAAGACGGUCUUGCUGUCACUUAUAGAUGGAUCCGCGCUGCAUUAGCUAGUUGGUAAGGUAACGGCUUACCAAGGCAACGAUGCAUAGCCGACCUGAGAGGGUGAUCGGCCACACUGGAACUGAGACACGGUCCAGACUCCUACGGGAGGCAGCAGUAGGGAAUCUUCCGCAAUGGGCGAAAGCCUGACGGAGCAACGCCGCGUGAGUGAUGAAGGUCUUCGGAUCGUAAAACUCUGUUAUUAGGGAAGAACAUAUGUGUAAGUAACUGUGCACAUCUUGACGGUACCUAAUCAGAAAGCCACGGCUAACUACGUGCCAGCAGCCGCGGUAAUACGUAGGUGGCAAGCGUUAUCCGGAAUUAUUGGGCGUAAAGCGCGCGUAGGCGGUUUUUUAAGUCUGAUGUGAAAGCCCACGGCUCAACCGUGGAGGGUCAUUGGAAACUGGAAAACUUGAGUGCAGAAGAGGAAAGUGGAAUUCCAUGUGUAGCGGUGAAAUGCGCAGAGAUAUGGAGGAACACCAGUGGCGGAGGCGACUUUCUGGUCUGUAACUGACGCUGAUGUGCGAAAGCGUGGGGAUCAAACAGGAUUAGAUACCCUGGUAGUCCACGCCGUAAACGAUGAGUGCUAAGUGUUAGGGGGUUUCCGCCCCUUAGUGCUGCAGCUAACGCAUUAAGCACUCCGCCUGGGGAGUACGACCGCAAGGUUGAAACUCAAAGGAAUUGACGGGGACCCGCGCAAGCGGUGGAGCAUGUGGUUUAAUUCGAAGCAACGCGAAGAACCUUACCAAAUCUUGACAUCCUUUGACAACUCUAGAGAUAGAGCCUUCCCCUUCGGGGGGGCAAAGUGACAGGUGGUGCAUGGUUGUCGUCAGCUCGUGUCGUGAGAUGUUGGGUUAAGUCCCGCAACGAGCGCAACCCUUAAGCUUAGUUGCCAUCAUUAAGUUGGGCACUCUAAGUUGACUGCCGGUGACAAACCGGAGGAAGGUGGGGAUGACGUCAAAUCAUCAUGCCCCUUAUGAUUUGGGCUACACACGUGCUACAAUGGACAAUACAAAGGGCAGCGAAACCGCGAGGUCAAGCAAAUCCCAUAAAGUUGUUCUCAGUUCGGAUUGUAGUCUGCAACUCGACUACAUGAAGCUGGAAUCGCUAGUAAUCGUAGAUCAGCAUGCUACGGUGAAUACGUUCCCGGGUCU
rnacentral:rRNA from 1 species